UGGGGAAUAUUGCACAAUGGGCGCAAGCCUGAUGCAGCGACGCCGCGUGAGGGAUGACGGCCUUCGGGUUGUAAACCUCUUUCAGCAGGGACGAAGCGCAAGUGACGGUACCUGUAGAAGAAGGACCGGCCAACUACGUGCCAGCAGCCGCGGUAAUACGUAGGGUCCGAGCGUUGUCCGGAAUUACUGGGCGUAAAGAGCUCGUAGGUGGUUUGUCGCGUUGUUCGUGAAAACUCACAGCUCAACUGUGGGCGUGCGGGCGAUACGGGCAGACUUGAGUACUGCAGGGGAGACUGGAAUUCCUGGUGUAGCGGUGGAAUGCGCAGAUAUCAGGAGGAACACCGGUGGCGAAGGCGGGUCUCUGGGCAGGUAACUGACGCUGAGGAGCGAAAGCGUGGGGAGCGAACAGGAUUAGAUACCCUGGUAGUCCACGCCGUAAACGGUGGGUACUAGGUGUGGGUUUCCUUCCUUGGGAUCCGUGCCGUAGCUAACGCA
rnacentral:rRNA from 1 species